ACCUGGGUAGCUCAGUUGGUUGAGCGUUUGGCUCUUGAUUUUGGCUCAGGUCAUAAUCUCAUGGUUCAUGGGUUCAAGUCCCAUGUCAGGCU
rnacentral:tRNA from 1 species